rnacentral:rRNA from 1 species
UACAGAGGGGGCCAGCGUUAUUCGGAAUUAUUGGGCGUAAAGGGCGCGUAGGCGGCCAUGCGUGUCUUCCGUGAAAUUCCUCGGCUUAACCGAGGACGUGCGGAAGAAACUGCAAGGCUCGAGUCCGGAAGAGGGGGGCGGAAUUCCCAGUGUAGCGGUGAAAUGCGUAGAUAUUGGGAGGAACACCAGUGGCGAAGGCGGUCCCCUGGGCCGGAACUGACGCUGAGGCGCGAAAGCGUGGGUAGCAAACGGG